rnacentral:sRNA from 1 species
UGUACGGUGUUACGAGCGAGAUCGCGACC